rnacentral:lncRNA from 1 species
GGAGAUGCUGCCUACUGCAGUGUGGAGAAUGGAUUGGAGGGGUCAGAAUGAAUGUAGAGAGAAUUCAAAGGCUCCUGCAGGAGUCCAAGCAAGAGGAUUGCAGAUUGUAGCCUGGAAGAGGCCAGUAGCUGUGGUGACAAUGGACACCAGGUGGAUAUGUUGGAGAGACACUUAGAAGGGUCUCACUCUGUCACCCAGACUGGAGUACACUGGUGUGAUCUCGGCUCACUGCAACCUCCGCCUCCCAGGCUCAAGUGAUUCUCCUGCCUCAGCCUCUCGAGUAGCUGGAAUUACAAGCAUGUGCCACUACCACCCUGCUAAUUUUUGUAUUUUUAGUAGAGAUGCGGUUUCACCAUGUUGGCCAGGCUGGCCUUGAACUCAUGACCUUAAAUGAUCCACCCGCCUCAGCCUCCCAAGUGCUGGGAUUUUAGGUGUGAGCCACUCGCCUGGCAGGUGAUUAUUUAAAAGCAGAAGUAGUAUAAUCAUAUUUUUUUGUAAAUAGCUUUUUAAAAAUGGAUGGGAAAUAAUAUUUGGAAGUGGAGUUGUUGAACUACCUCUGUGAACAGCAUACUCUCUCUAAUUGUUCAUUGGGUUGAGGGUGGUGAGAGGGAAGAAAUUGCAAAAGUUGCUUUGCUAGUGUUUAUUAGCACGUUGUGCACGUGUAUCCUAAAACUUAAAGUAUAAUAAUAAUAAAAUUUUAAAAAAAGGUUUUAAAAAAAAAGAAAAUUUCAGCUUAAUCCAUUGCCUGUAUGUUACAUGCGUUUCAUUUACCUUUGCUGUACUGUAUAUAUUGUGUAUAUACUGAACAAAUGAGUCCUAAUUUUAUAAUAUUUAGUCGAGUCUCUAGAGAGUAAAAAGGUUGCCAAUGUAUGACAGAAAGAGUUAGUAAACUAGCAUAAGUUGUAUGCUUUGUUAAAAUUCACAGAAAGACUGUCUUCUGAAAAGGACUUUUGGGAGUGAAAUAACAUCAGCUCUAAGUGACUCAUGUGCCUAUAUCCACCUGGUUGGUGGUGAAGAGGAGUUGAAAGGAAUGAAGGAUUCUAGGACAGAAGGUUCCUAUUGAGAAGACACUUUCGGCUAUAACCACUGUUACGUGUGUGUAAUUUAUUCAACACUACUGUGUAUAUAACGGACAAACAAAUCAUAUUUAAAACAUCAUCUAGUCUUUUUAGAUGUUUAGAAGUGCACAAAGUAUGUUAAAAGUAGAGGUAAAUAACACAUUUUGUAGAUAUCCUUUUGAUGUGAAAUAUUGUCUUUUGGAAAUUGAGCAAACCAAUUCCCUGAGCCGUACACAUUAUUAUAUCUGUGUCAGUUUGGGGAGGAAGGAGGAGCAGAAAGUACAAAGGGCUUUUCACCAGUGUGUUUAUGGUGAGGCACAUUGACUAUUAUCUUUUUUUUUUUUUUUUUGAGACGACGUCUCGCUCUGUCACCAAGCUGGGGUGCAGUGGCGCAAUCUUGGCUCUCUGCAACCUCUGCCUCCUGUAUUCAAGCGAUUCUCCUGCCUCAGCCUCCAGAGUACCUGGGACUACAGGUGUGCACCACCACACCCAGCUAAUUUUUGUAUUUUUAGUAGAGAAGGAGUUUCACCAUGUUUGCCAGGAUGGUCUUGAUCUAAGUCUGCAUUUUCUUUGUGCUGUGUAGAUAGCGUACAUAAGAGGACAAACCAAUCCUAAUCUAUAUCAUCUAGUCUUUGUAGAUGUUAGAGAGGUCCAGUGCGUGACAAAAGUAGAUUUAGUGAAUUAAAACACUGAGUACGUUUUGUGUUAAAAUUCAUAGGGAAGACUGUUGUUAAAAACAUAGAAGUGGGCAGGGCACGGUGGCUCACGCCUGUAAUCCCAGCACUUUGGGAGGCUGAGGUGGGCAGAUCACUUGUGGUCAGGAGUUCAAGACCAGCCUGACCAAUAUGAUGAAAUCCUGUGUCUACUAAAAAUACAAAAAUUAGCUGGGCAUGGCAGCGGGCACCUGUAAUCCCAGGUACUUGGGAGGCUGAGGCAGGAGAAUUGCUUGAACCCUGGAGGCAGAGGUUGUUAGAAUCCUUUCUACACAAUACAUUUGGCUUAUAGCUGUCCACAGGGUGGACAGAGGUUGGAACGGGAAGGGUUCUAGGCCAAAAUGUUCAGGGGAGGGGUGCUAGGCCAGAAUGUUCGUAUUUAGAAGACACUUUCAAAUUACAGUCUAUGUUAUGUAUAUGCACCAUUUAUUCAAUGCUACUAUGUAUAUAGUGGAAAACCUAAGUCCUCUUUGAAACAUCUAGUCUUUCUAAAUGUUUAAAAGUGCACAACAUAGGUUAGAAGUAGAGGGCUAAAGUGACACCCUUUAAGCAUUUUCUUUAUUACUUUUUAGGAGUGUUUGCAUUUGGAAAUGGAAUGGUUAAACUUGAUGCUUUGGACUGUUCAUAGGGUGAUGGUGGGUGUAGGAGGAGGAAGUAUGCAAAGGGAAGGGUUCUGUGCCCAAGAGUUAGAUUAGUUCACAUGAUCUAACCAUUGUUCUAUAUGCAUUUUAGUUAAUAGUGUUUUGUUUUUUAUUUUUGAUGGAGUUUUGCUCUUGUUGCCCAGGUUGGAGUGCAAUGGUGUGAUCUAGGCUCACUGCAACCUCUGCCUCCUGGGUUCAAGUGGUUCUCCUGCCUCAGCCUCCUGAGUAGCUAGGAUUAUAGGCACACACCACCACACCUGGCUAAUUUUUUUGGUAAUUUUUAGUAGAUUCGGUGUUUCACCAUGUUGGCCGGGCUUGUCUUGAACUCCUGACCUCAG